GAUGAACGCUGGCGGCGUGCCUAAUACAUGCAAGUCGAGCGAACAGAUGAGGAGCUUGCUCCUCUGACGUUAGCGGCGGACGGGUGAGUAACACGUGGAUAACCUACCUAUAAGACUGGGAUAACUUCGGGAAACCGGAGCUAAUACCGGAUAAUAUAUUGAACCGCAUGGUUCAAUAGUGAAAGACGGUUUUGCUGUCACUUAUAGAUGGAUCCGCGCCGCAUUAGCUAGUUGGUAAGGUAACGGCUUACCAAGGCAACGAUGCGUAGCCGACCUGAUAGGGGGAUAGCCGACACUGGAACUGAGACACGGUCAAGACGCCUACGGGAGGCAGCAGUAGGGAAUCUGCCGCAAUGGGCGAAAGCCUGACGGAGCAACGCCGCGUGAGUGACGAAGGUCUUCGGAUCGUAAAACUCUGUUAUUAGGGAAGAACAAAUGUGUAAGUAACUAUGCACGUCUUGACGGUACCUAAUCAGAAAGCCACGGCUAACUACGUG
rnacentral:rRNA from 1 species